GACGAACGCUGGCGGCGUGCUUAAUACAUGCAAGUUGAGCGCUGAGGGCUGGUACUUGUACCGCCUGGAUGAGCAGCGAACGGGUGAGUAACGCGUGGGGAAUCUCCCUUUGAGCGGGGGACAACAUUUGGAAACGCAUGCUCAUACCGCAUCCAAACUUUAAACACAGGUUUUAAGUUUGAAAGUUGCCUUUGCAUUACUCACACAUGCUAUCGCGUUGUAUUAGCUGGUUGGUGAGGUCAAGGCUCCCAAAGGCGAAGAUACAUAGCAGGCCGGCGAGGGGGAGCGGCCACAUUGGGACGGAGACCCGGCCCAAACUUCUACGGGAGGCAGCAGUAGGGAAGCUGGGGGAAGGGGCGAAAAUCUGACCAAGCAAGGCCGCGUGAGUGAAGAACGUUGUCGGGUCGUAAAACGCUGUCGGUAGGGAAGAACCUUGGUGAGAGUGGAAAGCUCAUCAAGUGACGGUAACUACCCAAGAAGCGACGGCUAACUACGUG
rnacentral:rRNA from 1 species